rnacentral:rRNA from 1 species
ACACUCCUGCGGGAGGCAGCAGUGGGGAAUUUUGGACAAUGGGCGAAAGCCUGAUCCAGCAAUGCCGCGUGAGUGAAGAAGGCCUUCGGGUUGUAAAGCUCUUUUGUCAGGGAAGAAACGGUGAAAGCUAAUAUCUUUUGCUAAUGACGGUACCUGAAGAAUAAGCACCGGCUAACUACGUGCCAGCAGCCGCGGUAAUACGCAGGGUGCAAGCGUUAAUCGGAAUUACUGGGCGUAAAGCGUGCGCAGGCGGUUUUGUAAGUCUGAUGUGAAAUCCCCGGGCUCAACCUGGGAAUUGCAUUGGAGACUGCAAGGCUAGAAUCUGGCAGAGGGGGGUAGAAUUCCACGUGUAGCAGUGAAAUGCGUAGAUAUGUGGAGGAACACCGAUGGCGAAGGCAGCCCCCUGGGUCAAGAUUGACGCUCAUGCACGAAAGCGUGGGGAGCAAACAGGAUUAGAUACCCGAGUAGUCCCAUGA